UGGGGAAUAUUGCACAAUGGGCGAAAGCCUGAUGCAGCGACGCCGCGUGAGGGAUGACGGCCUUCGGGUUGUAAACCUCUUUCAGUAGGGACGAAGCGCAAGUGACGGUACCUGCAGAAGAAGCACCGGCUAACUACGUGCCAGCAGCCGCGGUAAUACGUAGGGUGCGAGCGUUGUCCGGAAUUACUGGGCGUAAAGAGCUCGUAGGCGGUUUGUCACGUCGUCUGUGAAAUCCUAGGGCUUAACCCUGGACGUGCAGGCGAUACGGGCUGACUUGAGUACUACAGGGGAGACUGAAAUUUCUGGUGUAGCGGUGGAAUGAACAGAUAUCAGGAAGAACACGGAUGGCGAAGCAGGUCUCUGGGUAGUAACUGACGCUGAGGAGCGAAAGCAUGGGUAGCGAACAGG
rnacentral:rRNA from 1 species